rnacentral:misc_RNA from 1 species
AAGUCGUAACAAGGUUACCGUUGGUGAACCAGCGGUAGGAUCAUUACCACAAAAAUACCUUCUACAAAAUACAACAACUACGCUGGCGCGAUGAGCGCGCGCACUGAAUCAGAGAGUUUGAAUAAAAUUCUUCUGCAUGAAGCAGCGCCGCACUCGCGCCUUUGUGAACCUCAGACCCCGUUCGCGCGCCGUGGCGCGCCUGCGCUUUGGUGUGCAGGCAGUAGCGGUACGACACGCGAAUGGACAAAUCCUCUUCGGUCUCUCUUUCCUUUGGAGAGGAGGCCAAGCGGAUUUUAACAUUUCAACCACAUUGUAAACCAAAUACAACUGAAAACAACGUGCGCUAAACACGCACGACCACAACAAAAUAACAAAAAACAACUUUUAACGGUGGAUCUCUAGGCUCGU